GAUGAACGCUGGCGGCGUGCGUAACACAUGCAAGUUGAACGACGGUGUCAUGAAGUGGUAACACGGAAUGGCAUACGGAGUAGCGGACGGGUGAGUACAACAUGAGAAGCUGUCCUUCAGCGGGGGACAACGUCUGGAAGCGGACGCUAAUACCCCAUAGGCCGAGAGGUUAAAGCAGAGAUGCGCUGGAGGAGGUGCUCGUGCCCUAUCAGCUAGUUGGUGAGGUAACGGCUCACCAAGGCGACGACGGGUAGCCGGCCUGAGAGGGUGAACGGCCACACUGGAACUGAGAUACGGUCCAGACUCCUACGGGAGGCAGCAGUGGGGAAUAUUGGGCAAUGGGAGGAAUCCUGACCCAGCGACGCCGCGUGAACGAUGAAGGCCUUAGGGUUGUAAAGUUCUUUUAUGUGGGAAGAAGGAAGUGACGGUACCACAUGAAUAAGCCCCGGCUAACUAC
rnacentral:rRNA from 1 species